UACGGGGGGGGCAAGCGUUGUUCGGAAUUACUGGGCGUAAAGGGCGCGUAGGCGGUUGGAUAAGUCAGCUGUGAAAACCACGGGCUUAACUCGUGGCCUGCAGUUGAGACUGUCUGGCUUGAGUGUGGGAGAGGAGAGUGGAAUUCCGGGUGUAGUGGUGAAAUGCGUAGAUAUCCGGAGGAAUACCAGUGGCGAAGGCGGCACGCUGGGCCAUAACUGACGCUAAGACGCGAAAGCAUGGGUAGCGAACGGG
rnacentral:rRNA from 1 species